rnacentral:rRNA from 1 species
GACAGAGGGUGCAAACGUUGUUCGGAAUUACUGGGCGUAAAGCGCGUGUAGGUGGCGAGGCAGGUCGGGUGUGAAAGCCCUGGGCUCAACCCAGGAAGUGCACUCGAUACUGCCUAGCUAGAGUCCCGGAGAGGUUGGUGGAACUCUCGGUGUAGAGGUGAAAUUCGUAGAUAUCGAGAAGAACACCGGUGGCGAAGGCGGCCAACUGGACGGUGACUGACACUGAGACGCGAAAGCGUGGGGAGCAAACAGG